AACAACAGAAAUGUUGAUUUUGAUGGCAGACUGUUGUCAUUGUGUAGUCUAAGCAAAGCCUCUCUCAUAUCAACCAUGACUGGCAAUAAAACUAAUCCAUUCCAGGAGAGUGAAAUGUUAAAGAAUUUCUCAGCAUUUCUGAAAUAAAGACAUCAUGCGAGAUUUAACUCGCUAGAAAUAUGAUCAGGUCUCAAAAAAUGUCUUAGGGGCCUUGUCUCUUUCUGUAUGAAAAAUGGGCCUGACUUUAAUCAAGAGAAAAAAAUACCAUCUUUCUAAGAAUCAUCAUCAUUAUUUGUGGAUGAAAGGUGGCAUUAGCAUCAACUAGGUCAAAGUCUUUAAAUAUCUUGGGGUCUCUUUUUAUGCCUCUACAUCCUGGAAAUAACAGAUAAAGACAGUGUUCACAAAGACUCAAUG